rnacentral:lncRNA from 1 species
UCUCAGAAAGGGAGGAACGUGUCUUGACGAAGUCACACAUUUUAGUAUCGUCUCUCCCCAUUGGUCUGGAGAAAUUUAUAAAAUAUGUUCAGGGGGAAACUUAACUUAUACAUGAUGAUCCAGAGAGCGCGUGCUGAUAAAAACUACAGCUUGGGCGUAAACAAAACGCUUCCGUCAAGGAUGUCGUUCAGAAUCAGAUUCAGAAAGAGAUUUAUUGCCAACUUGUCCGGCAGUGGAGUAGAGGUAGUGCUUGGCCUCUGGUCCAGAUGAUUUCUCCUCCUACUGGAGCAUCAGUAAGGCUUUCUUCUGUCAGCCUGUCAUGGUCAUCCUUCUUGUUAGUCUCAUCCUGGACACACGCUGCAUUCAGGCUGAAGGGCCGGCCUGGUUUGGGCAUGUGAUAGACAUUAGCACUGGAAGAGAAGUCCAGAUCAUUAUGUUUAAGAGCUUUACAAUGCUCAUUAACAGCUUUCUACCACACAGUCCUGGCAGGAGAUCCUGGCUCCUUCAGCCUUUGGCCCGGCUCCGUUACAGCCUCCUCUCAGUGUCUGAAGACAGACUUUAACCCUGACAGCCCUCUACCUGACACACACAGUCAGCCCCUCUUUAGGGGGUUUAUCUUUUUGCACAGCUGGCAUAAACCAAGGACAAAGAAGCAGUAUUAAUGUACUUUCACCAUCCACCUCCUUAAGCACUUCAUCAGGAAUGUUCACAAGGGAUCAGAUACAGUGAUGGCAGUGCAUGUUGCAGUACUGAUGUCAGAUUUACCUGCUACAUAUGUGGCUCAGACUGGCCACUACUGUUAUUUUCAUAAGACCACUUAAGACCCACUAAACACACUACCGCUGAGAAGUCUUUAAACAAUUUGUCACUGAAAGGUUUCCAGGCAAAGUCUUGAUUUAAAGCAUCUAAUUGAGCCUCAAUUCAUGGUGAGUUCCGAGACAGUUGAUGGAACUGUCACUCGCCAGAU